AGGCGGCGUGGGGACAGCCUCAGAGUGCCGAAAGUCCCCGGCCCGCUUCCUCCUGUGAAGACGUAGCUGCGGGUGGCUGUAGUGGCAGCGCCUAAGAUGUCGACCAAGAAUUUCCGAGUCAGUGACGGUGACUGGAUUUGCCCUGACAAAAAAUGUGGGAAUGUAAACUUUGCUAGAAGAACCAGCUGUAAUAGAUGUGGCCGGGAGAAAACAACAGAGGCUAAAAUGAUGAAAGCUGGGGGCACUGAAAUAGGAAAGACACUUGCGGAAAAAAGCCGAGGCCUAUUUAGUGCUAAUGACUGGCAGUGCAAAACUUGCAGUAAUGUGAAUUGGGCCAGAAGAUCAGAGUGUAACAUGUGUAAUACUCCAAAGUAUGCUAAGUUAGAAGAAAGAACAGGAUAUGGUGGUGGUUUUAAUGAGAGAGAAAAUGUUGAAUAUAUAGAAAGAGAGGAAUCUGAUGGUGAAUAUGAUGAGUUUGGACGUAAAAAGAAAAAAUACAGAGGGAAGGCAGUUGGUCCUGGAUCUAUUUUAAAGGAAGUUGAAGAUAAAGAAUCUGAGGGAGAAGAAGAGGAUGAGGAUGAAGAUCUUUCUAAAUAUAAAUUAGAUGAGGAUGAGGAUGAAGAUGAUGCUGAUCUGUCAAAAUAUAAUCUUGAUGCCAGUGAAGAAGAAGAAAAUAAUAAAAAGAAAUCUAAUAGACGAAGUCGCUCAAAGUCUCGGUCUUCACAUUCACGAUCUUCAUCACGCUCAUCCUCCCCCUCAAGUUCAAGGUCUAGGUCCAGGUCCCGUUCAAGAAGUUCUUCCAGUUCGCAGUCAAGAUCUCGUUCGAGUUCCAGAGAACGUUCGAGAUCUCGUGGGUCGAAAUCAAGAUCCAGCUCCAGGUCCCACAGGGGCUCUUCUUCCCCACGAAAAAGAUCUUAUUCAAGUUCAUCAUCAUCUCCUGAGAGAAACAGAAAGAGAAGUCGUUCUAGAUCUUCUUCAUCUGGUGAUCGCAAAAAAAGACGAACAAGAUCACGGUCACCCGAAAGGUGAUUGGUGAAAACACUAAACAACCCUGAGCCCAGGGCCAACCCCUCGGAACACCACUACUUUACCCAGGCACCACAGGUCAUCUUCUGGAUCAUCCCAUUCUGGUUCCCGUUCAAGUUUAAAAGAGAAAUAAUGUAUUAAAAUUUACAUCUUAAAAAAAAAUCCAGUACAGUGCAUGAAGCAUAUUUUUUAAGAAGUUGGUGUCUUACUUGGUCAGAAGUGCUAAAUCUGCUAGUAGAGGUGCAUGCCUUUCAUUGCUUUUCAGAACAAUACAGCUGUGUUGAUCUGUGAAAUUAAAAGUAAAUAGUAUUUUAAGCCAUAAUAUCCAAAAUAGAUGCUGUUUAUCAUUCAUUAUUUACAACUAUUUGCUUCAUUUAAAACCAUCUCAGCUAUGACAUGAAAUGGUGUUUCCUAAUUUGAACUCUUUGUUUUUCUCAUUUCCAAAUAAGAACUGUCUUGUUAAAUUAAAAACAGGAUUACUUAGGCUUGCCUGAAUUUUGGGCUUAGAGGCAAGACUGGGAAGUAGUUACAAACAAACUGUUAAUGUUAACCUGGAAAAGGAGUCAGCCUGUUUAUGUUAAUCUGUAUCAAAGUGAUUAUCAGGAAGAGUUAAACUAGUUGUAAAACAGCCAACUGGAAAUUUCUUUAUUUUGAAAUUUUCUGUGCUAAGUAAGGAUGCCUUAAAAUCAUUUUCUCUUUCAUCCAGUGUUACCUUUUGCUUCACCACAUUUAAUGCAGAAAAAUCUUGUAAACUGAAGGAGAAAUGUUAUUCAUUUCAUCCUUUCAUGACACAUCAUUUUGAGCAAGAGAACAUUGAACAGUUCAUCAUCACUGCCAUGGUUGUCUGAUGAGAAAAACAUACCAGAAUGUUUAUCUUAAUAUUUUAAGAAGCUUUGUGUGAUACCCUUUCAAAAUCCACUUAUCACCUGUGAUAGGGUAGACAAGCUAAGUCAAAAAAACUGAAGAAAGAUUCCAAAGUAUAUUUUGCUUGGGUGAAAGACCAACAGAGAUGUUACAAAUUCAAGUGAACAUUUGCCUUGAGAUGUUUAAACACAGUGCAUAAAACUUUCUUUUGAGUAACAGAUGAACACUUACUGAGUUCUUGUUUCUGUAUGACGUAAGCAGCAAUAUGUGUUUCAAUUUACUUCAAGUUACUUAUGGCUUAAAAUACUUCUCAGUUCUGUUUUAUUUCUCAAGUUAAAAUCUGGUCACUUGAGCUUCAUUUUGUCUUCUGGUUUAAAAACAAAAGCUUCUCUUAACAGUAUCUUCGGUGACAAUGCAAGGUAAGUAUAUUAAGGGAAAUCAACAAUUGUGCUUGGGGACUUUUUGUUAUGGGGAUCAAUACCCACUUUUUUUUGUUUUGUUUUUUCCUUAACAUUAUUGUCUACUGCAAGUAAAAAAAUGUUGUAAUAUUUAGUAGACAGACCAAACAAAAUUAUAUCUCUUUUUUAUCUUAAAAUAAGUGAUUUUUCUCUUCAAUUGAUACAAAGAUGAAAGCAAAAUAUCUAAUGUAGAAAUAUUUUGGUGAUAUUUUUACAGUGAAUUUCCCCUUGUUUUCUUAUGUCUUAAUUUUCUUUGCUACGUUUACUAUAGGUUGCACAAGAACUUUUACUCUCUUAUAAUUGUGCCUCAGACUUCUUGAAAGUCCACCUUCUAAAUUGCCCAGAUGAUCUUCUAGAUUCUACGUGUUACCAUUGGUUAUUCUUGUCAUUUCUGUAUUUAAAACUUUGGCUGUACUAAGCAAAUGCAAGGGUUAUAAAUUAGCUAAUAGUAGUUUACAGACAAUUAAGAUGAUUAUGAUUUCAUUUGGUUUAAGCUGUACUAGUUCAUUUCAUAAGGAAAUGAUGCUGUAGACAAAUGUAAAUAAAGCCUGUGAGUCAAGCAUCAAGUGGCGUUUGUGAAAAAUAAAUCAGAAUUUUUAAGCUCUGA